CCUCCUGUCUCCAUCACUCUUCUUCCAUGGCUCUUCUUCAGAGGCCACCCUCUUAUCUUCACCUCUAUUUUCGCCUCAUGGCUUCUUCUCGUCCCCGUCUCUUCUCCCACUCCCUAUGCCCCUCACUUCACCGUCACUCCUCUCGCUCUCCUCUUCAACACCCAGGAUAAAGUUCCAGUUAGCUAAGGUUUUGAGUCAAAGACUUGUACUAAGAAAUGCGGUCUCACCAAGGUCCUUUAUGUCAUCCACCAU